GGCAAAAGCGCUGUGGGAGCGAAGGGCCCGAGCGUCCUCAGCCAGCCCAAACCGCUAAGAACGCCGUUAACUAACGAGGAGCGACCAGCUGCAUGAGCCGCUUUGCCUAACGCUGCGUUCCUAGGGAGCUGAUGUCUUCACGGCAGAAGUCUUCUGCAUUUGAAAAACGAAUUCCCAACGUAAUGUCACUUCAGGAAUGAGCGUGCGGCAUCAGUGUUGUCACUCUCUUUUUAGAGGAAGAUGGAAACAUAUUUAUACAUCGGAUAACAGAUGUUCAGAACAUAGUUCAGUGGUUCACCUAGCUCCGCUUUUGCUAAUGCAGUUGGCAUUGUGCAUUAGCCCUCAUUCCACCAGCACCCUGCAGGGCUCCCGCCUGCUAAGGACAAGGACGCAGGCAUGAGGACCAGCACUACUGCUGCUGCUCUACACAGUGCCAAGCCACCACUGUCCCGUGCAUUUCCUGGAACAGAAAGCAAAGAUGGCAUAUGAUACAGCUUUGCUUUCCUAGCUGUGUUUGAUUUUUAUCUAACUAGCUCAUGUAGCUGACAUUUUUCCUUAGGAACAUCUCCAGAAGAAAAACUUUGGUUUCUCCAGACUGCACACCAUAUUGUCCCAUGCUCUUUCAAGGCAAAGCAGAGUUCACACAUUUCUCAGCAUACACCAAGCUUGAUUUUUUUUCCCCCCUACUACUGUUCUUUCUGAGGCUGUGCAGAGGCUUUGGGCUAACCCACAAUGAACUGAACUUGAGCCAGCAGAAAUAAGUUUUGCUGACAAGGAGGUGCAGUGGGUGCCUGGGGCAGUGGGGGGCUGGAGCUGCAGUAUGCUGUGUGGCUCAUGUAGAACAUUUGUAAAUGCCAGAGGCAGGAAGAGUGGAGGGAAGCGAAAAGGAAAUGGGAAGUGGCUACUCGAUAUGCCAAAGAUGUUGAACAGCAAUGAAAUGAUUUAUAAAUCUUCUGCAUGUAUGUGAUGCAUACGGAUGGUGUUGGGGAGGUACUCCCAACCUUGGGAAAACAGUGUUCUGAUGCUUUCCAGACUCAUCUAAGUGUACUUGUGCAAGUCACCUAAUUACCUUGCUUUAAUGCAGCUUUACUCUGAGGCUGAAGGAAAAUUGUUCUGCAGCUCUUUGGCUUUACACUUAUUUUCCAUAACUACCAAAUCUUUAUGAGCUUUGGCUACUUUUUCUCUCUUUUCCAUGAAUGAUCUGUGUGGACACAAAGCUGAACCUGUCAAGCAUUAACAGGAGUUUAGUUUAAAUCUAGUUUAGAGACC
rnacentral:lncRNA from 1 species